AUGGCUCCCGUGUUUUCCGAGAUUGCUUCCACCCGCCGCUGCAUGCUGCAUGCGGCCCGUCCUCGAGGAGGGCAGGACAGAGCCGUGGUGCGGCCCAGCUCGGAGGUGGCUCCUGUCACCGCCCUCGUGUCGAGCCAGGAGCCGGGCCACGUGCAUAUGCGUAUUAACCCACGCAUCCAUGCACACGCACCGCCAUCUGCCCAUCCAUCCACCUACCUACCUAUCACGAACGAUCUUCACGUUGAAACCUCUGAUUUACAGAAAAAUAAGUCCAGUUUCCAAAAGAGCAGGAGCGCGCGGCCGGCGGCGCGCAUGUUGGGCGGGUUGGCCAUUCCCGGCAGGAGGUUUCCGAUUCGGGGUUACCGCCCAGGAGGCCGCCACCGACAUGGCAUCCAGGCGCCGGGUCCCAGGUCUGCCUCGCCCCAAACGCCCGGCAGUGCACGGCGGCCCACCUGGCAAUGCGUGUGUGUGCAGGAAACGCCCAAGUUCUCCUGGACCGGUUACCCCGUUUCCCACCCCCGCCAGCGGUGGAAGGGAGGCACAGUUUCUGCGCAUGCUCGCCAGCGUGGAGCGCGCAGGGGGGCCCCCCAAGUGGCUAAGUCGGGGGUGGGCCGGUCACAGAAACUAACUCCCAGAUGCCCCCGGGGACCCACCCCUGGGGAAGAACCAGGGACCUGGGGGGAGCCUCAGCUGUCCCCACGGCCCGCACCGGAGGGCACAGACACCCACCCGGGGCGGGAGGCGGCAGCCGGCUCACCAGCUGCGCAGCGCACAGGCCGCUCCCUGCUCCCCGCUGCCAGGGCCUGCGCCGCCCUCCAGGGCCCAGACCCCAAGCCCCGCCCCAGGCCUCCCUCGCAUCCCAUAGGGCAGCUCCAUGUCACGUGGCCACUCUUGGCCGGCAAGGGCAGCUGCGAACCCUAUUUCCCUUCAAGGCGGGGCACGCUGCUCUGCAAGCCAAAUCUGGAGGCUGUCAGGGAAGAAGGGGGAAUAGUUACUGACUUCGAGGCAGACCCACUAACAAACAGCCCUAUUACCCCCCCAGGAAGUAAUCACCCAAAGAUAUAA
rnacentral:lncRNA from 12 species